AACCAGCUACUAGAUGGUUUCGAUUAGUCUUUCGCCCCUAUACGCAAAUUUGACGAUCGAUUUGCACGUCAGAACCGCUGCGAGCCUCCACCAGAGUUUCCUCUGGCUUCACCCUAUUCACGCAUAGUUCACCAUCUUUCG
rnacentral:rRNA from 1 species